AGCGAACGCUGGCGGCAGGCUUAACACAUGCAAGUCGAACGGGCGUAGCAAUACGUCAGUGGCAGACGGGUGAGUAACACGUGGGAACGUACCUCUUGGUUCGGAACAACACAGGGAAACUUGUGCUAAUACCGGAUAAGCCCUUACGGGGAAAGAUUUAUCGCCGAGAGAUCGGCCCGCGUCUGAUUAGCUAGUUGGUAGGGUAAUGGCCUACCAAGGAGACGAUCAGUAGCUGGUCUGAGAGGGUGAUCAGCCACAUUGGGACUGAGACACGGCCCAAACUCCUACGGGAGGCAGCAGUGGGGAAUAUUGGACAAUGGGGGCAACCCUGAUCCAGCCAUGCCGCGUGAGUGAUGAAGGCCCUAGGGUUGUAAAGCUCUUUUGUGCGGGAAGAUAAUGACGGUACCGCAAGAAUAAGCCCCGGCUAACUUCGUGCCAGCCGCCGCAGUAA
rnacentral:rRNA from 1 species